rnacentral:rRNA from 1 species
UGGGGAAUAUUGGACAAUGGGCGCAAGCCUGAUCCAGCCAUGCCGCGUGAGUGAUGAAGGCCUUAGGGUUGUAAAGCUCUUUUGUCCGGGAAGAUAAUGACUGUACCGGAAGAAUAAGCCCCGGCUAACUUCGUGCCAGCAGCCGCGGUAAUACGAAGGGGGCUAGCGUUGCUCGGAAUCACUGGGCGUAAAGGGCGCGUAGGCGGACUCUUAAGUCGGGGGUGAAAGCCCAGGGCUCAACCCUGGAAUUGCCUUCGAUACUGAGCGUCUUGAGUUCGGAAGAGGUUGGUGGAACUGCGGGUGUAGAGGUGAACUUCGUAGAUAUUCGCAAGCACACCGGUGGCGAAGGCGGCCAACUGGUCCGAUACUGACGCUGAGGCGCGAAAGCGUGGGGAGCAAACAGG